GACGAACGCUGGCGGCGUGCCUAAUACAUGCAAGUCGAACGCUUCUUUCCUCCCGAGUGCUUGCACUCAAUUGGAAAGAGGAGUGGCGGACGGGUGAGUAACACGUGGGUAACCUACCCAUCAGAGGGGGAUAACACUUGGAAACAGGUGCUAAUACCGCAUAACAGUUUAUGCCGCAUGGCAUAAGAGUGAAAGGCGCUUUCGGGUGUCGCUGAUGGAUGGACCCGCGGUGCAUUAGCUAGUUGGUGAGGUAACGGCUCACCAAGGCCACGAUGCAUAGCCGACCUGAGAGGGUGAUCGGCCACACUGGGACUGAGACACGGCCCAGACUCCUACGGGAGGCAGCAGUAGGGAAUCUUCGGCAAUGGACGAAAGUCUGACCGAGCAACGCCGCGUGAGUGAAGAAGGUUUUCGGAUCGUAAAACUCUGUUGUUAGAGAGGAACAAGGACGUUAGUAACUGAACGUCCCCUGACGGUAUCUAACCAGAAAGACACGGCUAACUACGUG
rnacentral:rRNA from 1 species